GCAACGAUGGGUUUGAGAGAAGCAGCGAGUUGCUUUGUCAUCUUCCUUCUUUCUGUGUCAGAAGAAACAAGUCCUUCACACAACAGCGUGAGUGCGGUGAGAGACCAGAAGACAGAGCGCAGAUUUCAGCUGCGGCACACACACGACCAGCAGAGCCGCACGAUGACGUCCACUACGCCAGCGUCUACUUCACCCAGAACCGGGCAGAUGCCAUAGGUUGAGUUCAACCCCAGAGAGAAACUGAGGAAGAUGAGGAGGAGGCUGAAUACAGUGCUGUUCGAUUUGACAGUGCAACAAGAACAAGACGUGAAGAAGAGGGGGACGAUUCAUCUGCAGUGUAC